rnacentral:rRNA from 1 species
CGAAGGGGGCUGGCGUUGCUCGGAAUUACUGGGCGUAAAGGGCGCGUAGGCGGAUAUUUAAGUCGGGGGUGAAAGCCCAGGGCUCAACCCUGGAACAGCCUUCGAUACUGGAUAUCUUGAGUACGGGAGAGGUGUGUGGAACUCCGAGUGUAGAGGUGAAAUUCGUAGAUAUUCGGAAGAACACCAGUGGCGAAGGCGACACACUGGCCCGUUACUGACGCUGAGGCGCGAAAGCGUGGGGAGCAAACAGGAUUAGAUACCCUGGUAGUCCACGCUGUAAACGAUGAGUGCUAGUUGUCGGCAUGCAUGCAUGUCGGUGACGCAGCUAACGCAUUAAGCACUCCGCCUGGGGAGUACGGUCGCAAGAUUA